rnacentral:rRNA from 1 species
GGGCUGCAGUCGAGAAUCUUUCACAAUGGGGGCAACCCUGAUGGAGCGACGCCGCGUGGAGGAUAAGGUCUUCGGAUUGUAAACUCCUGUCAUGUGUGAACAAGGUUGCGGGGCUAAUACCUUUGCAAAUUGAUGGUAACACAAGAGGAAGAGACGGCUAACUCUGUGCCAGCAGCCGCGGUAAUACAGAGGUCUCAAGCGUUGUUCGGAAUCACUGGGCGUAAAGGGUGCGUAGGUGGCGUGGUAAGUCAGAUGUGAAAGCCCGGGGCUCAACCUCGGAAUUGCAUCCGAUACUGCCAUGCUUGAGUACUGAAGAGGUGACUAGAAUUCUAGGUGUAGCAGUGAAAUGCGUAGAUAUCUAGAGGAAUACCAAAGGCGAAGGCAGGUCACUUGGCAGUUACUGACACUGAGGCACGAAGGCCAGGGGAGCGAACGGGAUUAGAUACCCCUGUAGUC